AGAGUUUGAUCCUGGCUCAGGACGAACGCUGGCGGCGCGCCUAACACAUGCAAGUCGAACGAGCGAGAGAGAGCUUGCUUUCUCAAGCGAGUGGCGAACGGGUGAGUAACGCGUGAGGAACCUGCCUCAAAGAGGGGGACAACAGUUGGAAACGACUGCUAAUACCGCAUAAGCCCACGACCCGGCAUCGGGUUGAGGGAAAAGGAGCAAUCCGCUUUGAGAUGGCCUCGCGUCCGAUUAGCUGGUUGGUGAGGUAACGGCCCACCAAGGCAACGAUCGGUAGCCGGACUGAGAGGUUGAACGGCCACAUUGGGACUGAGACACGGCCCAGACUCCUACGGGAGGCAGCAGUGGGGAAUAUUGCACAAUGGGGGAAACCCUGAUGCAGCGACGCCGCGUGGAGGAAGAAGGUCUUCGGAUUGUAAACUCCUGUUGUUGAGGAAGAUAAUGACGGUACUCAACAAGGAAGUGACGGCUAACUACGUGCCAGCAGCCGCGGUAAAACGUAGGUCACAAGCGUUGUCCGGAAUUACUGGGUGUAAAGGGAGCGCAGGCGGGAAGACAAGUUGGAAGUGAAAUCUAUGGGCUCCACCCAUAAACUGCUUUCAAAACUGUUUUUCUUGAGUAGUGCAGAGGUACGCGGAAUCCCCGGUGUAGCGUGGAAUGCGUAGAUAUCGGAGGAACACCAGUGGCGAAGGCGGCCUACUGGGCACCAACUGACGCUGAGGCUCGAAAGUGUGGGUAGCAAACAGGAUUAGAUACCCUGGUAGUCCACACCGUAAACGAUGAUUAGUAGGUGUUGGAGGAUUGACCCCUUCAGUGCCGCAGUUAACACAAUAAGUAAUCCACCUGGGGAGUACGACCGCAAGGUUGAAACUCAAAGGAAUUGACGGGGGCCCGCACAAGCAGUGGAGUAUGUGGUUUAAUUCGACGCAACGCGAAGAACCUUACCAAGUCUUGACAUCCUGCGACGCACAUAGAAAUAUGUGUUUCCUUCGGGACGCAGAGACAGGUGGUGCAUGGUUGUCGUCAGCUCGUGUCGUGAGAUGUUGGGUUAAGUCCCGCAACGAGCGCAACCCUUACUGUCAGUUACUACGCAAGAGGACUCUGGCAGGACUGCCGUUGACAAAACGGAGGAAGGUGGGGAUGACGUCAAAUCAUCAUGCCCUUUAUGACUUGGGCUACACACGUACUACAAUGGCGUUAAACAAAGAGAAGCAAGACCGCGAGGUGGAGCAAAACUCAGAAACAACGUCCCAGUUCGGACUGCAGGCUGCAACUCGCCUGCACGAAGUCGGAAUUGCUAGUAAUCGUGGAUCAGCAUGCCAGCGGUGAAUACGUUCCUCGGGCCAUUGUACACACCGCCC
rnacentral:rRNA from 1 species